rnacentral:rRNA from 1 species
CCUUUUGUAUAAUGGGUCAGCGACUUAUAUUCUGUAGCAAGGUUAACCGAAUAGGGGAGCCGAAGGGAAACCGAGUCUUAACUGGGCGUUAAGUUGCAGGGUAUAGACCCGAAACCCGGUGAUCUAGCCAUGGGCAGGUUGAAGGUUGGGUAACACUAACUGGAGGACCGAACCGACUAAUGUUGAAAAAUUAGCGGAUGACUUGUGGCUGGGGGUGAAAGGCCAAUCAAACCGGGAGAUAGCUGGUUCUCCCCGAAAGCUAUUUAGGUAGCGCCUCGUGAAUUCAUCUCCGGGGGUAGAGCACUGUUUCGGCAAGGGGGUCAUCCCGACUUACCAACCCGAUGCAAACUGCGAAUACCGGAGAAUGUUAUCACGGGAGACACACGGCGGGUGCUAACGUCCGUCGUGAAGAGGGAAACAACCCAGACCGCCAGCUAAGGUCCCAAAGUCAUGGUUAAGUGGGAAACGAUGUGGGAAGGCCCAGACAGCCAGGAUGUUGGCUUAGAAGCAGCCAUCAUUUAAAGAAAGCGUAAUAGCUCACUGGUCGAGUCGGCCUGCGCGGAAGAUGUAACGGGGCUAAACCAUGCACCGAAGCUGCGGCAGCGACGCUUAUGCGUUGUUGGGUAGGGGAGCGUUCUGUAAGC